rnacentral:rRNA from 1 species
UACAGAGGGUGCGAGCGUUGUUCGGAAUUAUUGGGCGUAAAGGGCGCGUAGGCGGUGCGGUAAGUCACCUGUGAAAUCUCCUGGCUCAACUGGGAGCUUGCAGGCGAAACUGCCGUGCUGGAGUGUGGGAGAGGUGCGUGGAAUUCCCGGUGUAGCGGUGAAAUGCGUAGAUAUUGGAAGGAACGCCGGUGGCGAAAGCGACACACUGGGCCUUGUCUGACGCUGAGGCACGAAAGCCAGGGGAGCGAACGGG